rnacentral:misc_RNA from 1 species
GAUGAAGAACGUAGCGAAAUGCGAUAAGUAGUGUGAAUUGCAGAAUUCAGUGAUUCAUCGAAUCUUUGAACGCACAUUGCGCCCCUUGGUAUUCCAUGGGGCAUGCCUGUUCGAGCGUCAUUUGUACCUUCAAGCUUUGCUUGGUGUUGGGUGUUUGUCUCGCCUCUGCGUGUAGACUCGCCUUAAAACAAUUGGCAGCCGGCGUAUUGAUUUCGGAGCGCAGUACAUCUCGCGCUUUGCACUCAUAACGACGACGUCCAAAAGUACAUUUUUACACUCUUGACCUCGGAUCAGGUAGGGAUACCCGCUGAACUUAAGCAUAUCAAUAAGCGGAGGA